AUUGAACGCUGGCGGCAGGCCUAACACAUGCAAGUCGAACGAGUGGCGGACGGGUGAGUAAUGUCUGGGAAACUGCCCGAUGGAGGGGGAUAACUACUGGAAACGGUAGCUAAUAACGCAUACCAUCGGAUGUGCCCAGAUGGGAGUAGCUUGUAGGUGAGGUAACGGCGAACCUAGGCGACGAUCCCUAGCUUGUCUGAGAGGAUGACCAGCCAUACUGGAACUGCGACACGGUCCACACUCCUAGGGGAGGCAGCAGUGGGGUAUAUGGCACAAUGGGCGCAAGCCUGAUGCUGCCAUGCCGCGUGGAUGAAGAAGGCUUUCGGGUUGUAAAGUACUUUCAGCGGGGAGGCGUUACCCGCAGCAGAAGCACCGGCUAACGCCGUGCCAGCAGCCGCGGUAAUUC
rnacentral:rRNA from 1 species